AGUGAACGCUGGCGGUAGGCCUAACACAUGCAAGUCGAACGGCAGCACAGGAGAGCUUGCUCUCUGGGUGGCGAGUGGCGGACAGGUGAGGAAUACAUCGGAAUCUACUCUGUCGUGGGGGAUAACGUAGGGAAACUUACGCUAAUACCGCAUACGACCUACGGGUGAAAGCAGGGGAUCUUCGGACCUUGCGCGAUUGAAUGAGCCGAUGUCGGAUUAGCUAGUUGGCGGGGUAAAGGCCCACCAAGGCGACGAUCCGUAGCUGGUCUGAGAGGCGGAUCAGCCACACUGGAACUGAGACACGGUCCAGACUCCUACGGGAGGCAGCAGUGGGGAAUAUUGGACAAUGGGCGCAAGCCUGAUCCAGCCAUACCGCGUGGGUGAAGAAGGCCUUCGGGUUGUAAAGCCCUUUUGUUGGGAAGAAAUCCAGCUGGCUAAUACCCGGUUGGGAUGACGGUACCCAAAGAAUAAGCACCGGCUAACUUCGUGCCAGCAGCCGCCGCCG
rnacentral:rRNA from 1 species